CUCCUGCAAGGGCUGCCUCGCUGCCCCCUCCUGGGAUCUGUCAAGUAGAAGAUUCCUACAGGGGACACAUUAGGGGAUGUUUUCUACCACUCAGGAGAAGACUUCCUGUUUCCUCCUGAGCUGGGACAGACUUCCACUCCAUGUGACUUGAAGAGGGUGCAUGCAGUCUGUUGUACUAGCAUGGAGGAGCACAUGGCCUCCAUCUUCUGAUCAGUGUGUCUUCUCCAUUUUGUAUGUUGCUGUGUGUUUGGAGAAGUGACUCCUUAGUGGCAGUCAUUUGGGACUAAGUUCUUUAUGGAAUAGUUCUAGUUGUUAUGUAACAACCUGCCUGCCUGUGAACGUGAACAAAUCUGUGAUUAAACUACUUUUAUAUUAACGUGAA